GGAUGUAAGAGAUCCCGCUGCAACAUCCCGUCACCCCAUCGAUCACUAGGGUUGAUUCCAGCUUGUCUGGGUAAGCAAGGCAGGUGUCCUGUUUCUCCCCUCACCACUCCAUGUGCGUCCCUCUGCAAACUGCACAGAUGGCCAAAGAGGAUGACUUUCCCCAAAUAGAGUCAGACUUUCUUCAGUCCCCUGCUAGAACCUCCAAACAAGCUCUCAAAACGUUUGGAGGGGAUAAACCAAAGGUAAAUCAUGGUAAAGGCAGGAAUCAGGUAAUGAU
rnacentral:snRNA from 1 species